GAUGAACGCUAGCGGCAGGCUUAACACAUGCAAGUCGAGGGGUAACAGGGAAGAGCUUGCUUUUCUGCUGACGACCGGCGCACGGGUGCGUAACGCGUAUAGAACCUACCUUUUACAGGGGAAUAGCCCAGAGAAAUUUGGAUUAAUGCCCCAUAGUAUUAUUGAAUGGCAUCAUUUAAUAAUUAAACAUUUAUGGGUAAAAGAUGGCUAUGCGUUCUAUUAGCUAGAUGGUAAGGUAACGGCUUACCAUGGCAACGAUAGAUAGGGGUCCUGAGAGGGAGAUCCCCCACACUGGUACUGAGACACGGACCAGACUCCUACGGGAGGCAGCAGUGAGGAAUAUUGGACAAUGGAGGCAACUCUGAUCCAGCCAUGCCGCGUGCAGGAAGACGGUCCUAUGGAUUGUAAACUGCUUUUAUAUAGGAAGAAACCUUUCCACGUGUGGAAAGCUGACGGUACUAUAAGAAUAAGCACCGGCUAACUCCGUGCCAGCAGCCGCGGUAAUACGGAGGGUGCAAGCGUUAUCCGGAAUCAUUGGGUUUAAAGGGUCCGUAGGCGGACUAAUAAGUCAGGGGUGAAAUCCAACAGCUUAACUGUUGAACUGCCUUUGAUACUGUUAGUCUUGAGUUAUAUGGAAGUAGAUAGAAUAUGUAGUGUAGCGGUGAAAUGCUUAGAGAUUACAUAGAAUACCGAUUGCGAAGGCAGUCUACUACGUAUAUACUGACGCUAA
rnacentral:rRNA from 1 species